CCCCCCCCCCCCCCCGGGCGGGGCGGGGGCACGGGGGGAACGCGAAGAACCUUACCAGGUCUUGACAUCCUCUGACAACCCUAGAGAUAGGGCUUCUCCUUCGGGAGCAGAGUGACAGGUGGUGCAUGGUUGUCGUCAGCUCGUGUCGUGAGAUGUUGGGUUAAGUCCCGCAACGAGCGCAACCCUUGAUCUUAGUUGCCAUCAUUAAGUUGGGCACUCUAAGGUGACUGCCGGUGACAAACCGGAGGAAGGUGGGGAUGACGUCAAAUCAUCAUGCCCCUUAUGACCUGGGCUACACACGUGCUACAAUGGACGGUACAAAGAGCUGCAAGACCGCGAGGUGGAGCUAAUCUCAUAAAACCGUUCUCAGUUCGGAUUGUAGGCUGCAACUCGCCUACAUGAAGCGGGAAUCGCUAGUGAGCGCCGAUCAACAUCCCGUCGA
rnacentral:rRNA from 1 species